UACGGAGGGGGCUAGCGUUGUUCGGAAUUACUGGGCGUAAAGCGCGCGUAGGCGGCUUUGUAAGUUAGAGGUGAAAGCCCGGAGCUCAACUCCGGAAUUGCCUUUAAGACUGCAUCGCUAGAACGUCGGAGAGGUAAGUGGAAUUCCGAGUGUAGAGGUGAAAUUCGUAGAUAUUCGGAAGAACACCAGUGGCGAAGGCGACUUACUGGACGACUGUUGACGCUGAGGUGCGAAAGCGUGGGGAGCAAACAGGAUUAGAAACCCUCGUAGUCC
rnacentral:rRNA from 1 species